rnacentral:tRNA from 2 species
GCGGAUGUAGUUCAAUGGUAGAACACUAGCUUCCCAAGCUAGUAACGCGGGUUCGAUUCCCGUCAUCCGCUCCA